GGCUUCUUCCUUAUAUUUUCGGGAGGACAAGCAGCUUUCGGCAUUCGGGUGGGCCCAGAGAGUGUGGGGCAGCUCGUAUUAUUUUUAUUCUCCUAUCCCUAUCCACUUUUUUCUUCCAUCCAUUCUCUUUUUAUGCGACAUACUGAAAAUUGUCCUC
ensembl:ncRNA C54D2.8 ncRNA